AACGAACGCUGGCGGCAUGCCUAACACAUGCAAGUCGAACGAGACCUUCGGGUCUAGUGGCGCACGGGUGCGUAACGCGUGGGAACCUGCCCUUAGGUUCGGAAUAACUCCCCGAAAGGGGUGCUAAUACCGGAUAAUGUCUUCGGACCAAAGAUUUAUCGCCUUUGGAUGGGCCCGCGUUGGAUUAGCUAGUUGGUAGGGUAAAAGCCUACCAAGGCGACGAUCCAUAGCUGGUCUGAGAGGAUGAUCAGCCACACUGGGACUGAGACACGGCCCAGACUCCGAGGGGAGGAGGAAGUGGGAAAUAUGGAAAAAGGGGGGAAGGCUGGACCCAGCAAUGCCGGGGGAGUGAGGAGGGCUUGAGGGUUGAAAAGCUUUUUUCCCCGGGAGAAUAAGGAAAGUCCGGGAAAAAUAGGCUGGGGCUAGCCCCGUC
rnacentral:rRNA from 1 species